AUAUUUGGCCCGUGUUGGCCUUGGGUAAGCGUGUGGUUCAACGGGCCCGGCGCACUUAAAAGUGUUGCACAAAGCAAAAUAAACUAUUAAAAGGAGAGAUUAGUCAACAAGUACACAAUACAUUACAUAAUCUUUUACACUUGCUAAGCUGGCGUCUUCCUCAUUCACAAAUUUUUUUUGAGUCAAUUUCUCGCCAAAAUCUCGCGAGAGAAUUGAACUUUAAAAGAAAGACUCCUUCCCCCAAUUUGAAUCUCGCUUGCUCAGCCAAUUCCUCCUCUCUCAGAUCUGCAAAAACCCUUCUCUUCGAGAGUUCGAUCUUUGGCACAGUUCCUUCUCUUCCAUUUUUUCAGUUUGAAGAACCGUGAGCCCCUCUCUCUCUCUCUCUUAACCGGCGUCCACUUCAUACUAUUGUGAAGAAUCGAAAGACAUCGAGUUUGAAGAACCGUGAGCCCUUCUCUCUCUUCACCGGCGUCGACUUCAUACUAUUGUGAAGACUCGAAAGACAUCGAGUCAUGUUUGAUGGCAGGCAAGAAUAGAGGAAUCUAUCAUAGUUGUAGACAACCAGGACACACGUUGUUGGAAUGCCCGAAAAAGAGAGCAUGUCCAAAAUGUGGCGAGGGUUUCAUCAAAUGGAUGGAGGUGGAAAAGAAUACUGAAAACAUGGGAAAGAUGUUCCAUUGUUGUACUCGGGACUACAGGUAUUUCAAGUGGAGUAAUGUUUUGCCCGCUGAAGAAUAUCAGUUGCAUAUUAAAGAUGAAUCAAGUGGUGUCCUGAAGCCUAAAGAUCGGUUCGAUGAUUUGUCACAUAUGUUCAAAGAAUUGACUAAAGUAUCUACUAAUGAAGAUGACUUGGAGAUUUCGUUCAGCAUAACUAUUCACAAGGGGAAACGAGUUUUAGAAGGCAACGACAAUUGAAGGAAAGCUACCGUGUAAUGUUAGUGUAGGACUGUGUAUGAUGUAGUUGUUUAUGGAUGUAAUUUGUAGGUGGAUGGUUAUGUGUACUGUAAUGGUGUAGGUUGUUUAAAACUGGUUUGAUUCAAUGAGAAUUUCU